rnacentral:rRNA from 1 species
GACGUAGGGUGCAAGCGUUGUCCGGAUUUACUGGGCGUAAAGAGCGCGUAGGCGGCUCGUUAAGUGUGAAGUGAAAUCUCCAGGGCUCAACCCGGAAACUGCUUCGCAUACUGGCGAGCUUGAGGAAUGCAGAGGUUAGUGGAAUUCCUGGUGUAGCGGUGAAAUGCGUUGAUAUCAGGAGGAACACCCCAUGGGCGGAAAGGCAGCUAA